UCCUACGGGAGGCAGCAGUGGGGAAUAUUGGACAAUGGGGGCAACCCUGAUCCAGCCAUGCCGCGUGUGUGAAGAAGGCCCUCGGGUUGUAAAGCACUUUCAGCGAGGAAGAACGCCUAGCGGUUAAUACCCGCUAGGAAAGACAUCACUCGCAGAAGAAGCACCGGCUAACUCCGUGCCAGCAGCCGCGGUAAUACGGAGGGUGCAAGCGUUAAUCGGAAUUACUGGGCGUAAAGCGCGCGUAGGUGGCUUGAUAAGCCGGUUGUGAAAGCCCCGGGCUCAACCUGGGAACGGCAUCCGGAACUGUCAAGCUAGAGUGCAGGAGAGGAAGGUAGAAUUCCCGGUGUAGCGGUGAAAUGCGUAGAGAUCGGGAGGAAUACCAGUGGCGAAGGCGGCCUUCUGGACUGACACUGACACUGAGGUGCGAAAGCGUGGGUAGCAAACAGGAUUAGAUACCCUGGUAGUCCACGCCGUAAACGAUGUCGACCAGCCGUUGGGUGCCUAGCGCACUUUGUGGCGAAGUUAACGCGAUAAGUCGACCGCCUGGGGAGUACGGCCGCAAGGUUAAAACUCAAAUGAAUUGACGGAGGCCCGCACAAGCGGUGGAGCAUGUGGUUUAAUUCGAUGCAACGCGAGGAGCCUUACCUACUCUUGACAUCCUGCGAAUUUGGUAGAGAUACCUUAGUGCCUUCGGGACGCAGAGACAGGUGCUGCAUGGCUGUCGUCAGCUCGUGUUGUGAAAUGUUGGGUUAAGUCCCGUAACGAGCGCAACCCUUGUCCUUAUUGCCAGCCCGUAAUGGCGGGAACUCUAAGGAAACUGCCGGUGACAAACCGAGAGUGGGGAACAACUCAAUUCAUCAUGGGCCUUCAAAUAGCUACACCCAGUCGCAUAAGAGUGC
rnacentral:rRNA from 1 species